AAGCACUCAGACACUUAAUCUCACAGGAAUUUCAAUUAGGACAUAUCGAACCUUCUCUUAAUCAGUGGAACACCCCGAUCUUUGUCAUACAGAAGCGUUCUGGUGCUUUCCGCCUGCUGCAUGACUUGCGCGCAGUCAAUGCCCAGCUUGUACCUUUUGGGGCAGUACAGCAGGGUGGACCGAUACUGUCAGCCAUACCCAAGGAGUGGCCAUUGGUGGUCAUAGACCUUAAAGACUGCUUUUUCUCCAUCCCUCUCGCGGAAGAGGAUCGGAAGGCAUUCGCCUUUAC
rfam:Gallus gallus isolate RJF #256 breed Red Jungle fowl, inbred line TCD001 chromosome Z, whole genome shotgun sequence.